UGGGGAAUCUUGCGCAAUGCGCGAAAGCGUGACGCGGCAACGCCGCGUGGGGGAAGACGGCUUUCGGGUUGUAAACCCCUUUCAGGAGGGACGAAGGUUCACCGGUUAAUAGCCGUGUGGAUUGACGGUACCUCCAGAAGAAGCUCCGGCUAACUACGUGCCAGCAGCCGCGGUAAUACGUAGGGAGCAAGCGUUGUCCGGAAUCAUUGGGCGUAAAGCGCGCGUAGGCGGCCCUGUAAGUCUGCUGUGAAAGUCAAAGGCUCAACCUUUGAAAGCCGGUGGAUACUGCAGGGCUAGAGUCCGGAAGAGGCGAGUGGAAUUCCUGGUGUAGCGGUGGAAUGCGCAGAUAUCAGGAGGAACACCAAUAGCGAAGGCAGCUCGCUGGGACGGUACUGACGCUAAGGCGCGAAAGCGUGGGGAGCGAACAGGAUUAGGAUACCCUGGUACGUCCACGCCGUAAACGAUGGGCACUAGGUGUGGGAGGUGUCGACUCC
rnacentral:rRNA from 1 species